CUAAACAUCUUUUGGAGAUAUAAAGAUAGAGAGAGAUACCAGCGCGCGGAAGAACAUGGUGGAGAAUUCUUCUGAAUACGUAACAGAUUGAUCGAUUUUUAUUUUUCACCCCUCGGAGCGGGGAUUUUUGCAUUUGUUGAUACAUGGAAUGGAAUGUACAGUGGUGUGUAUGACGGCUCAAGGAUGUACAGAACUAGCUUGUAAAACGGUCUGAAAGGCUCUCAGCUGGUGUGGUUGCUGGUAUGAGCUACAGACUUCUCUUAUCUCUACUACUAUCGUAUUGUACACACCAAGAGUAUAAAUCAAAGAAAAAGAAAAAAAAUGUUUCGUGGGUGGUUGUCACCUGUCAGUUUGUGUUUCUGGCGUCUGAAUCUGAAAUUUUCAGCCUAGAAUAGAGUGAUGUACUCCCUCCGGUCCAUUUUAGUUGCAUAUAAGUUUUGUUUGAAGUCAAAGCAUCUCUACUUUGACCGAAUUUAUAAAAAAAAGUAUUAACAUUUACGAUGCCAAAUCAAUUUUGUUAGAUUCAUUACGAAAUGUAGUUUCAUGGGAUAUAUAUUUGGUAUGGUUGAUAUUGAUAUUUUUUAAUAUAUAUUUAGUCAAACUUUACAAAGUUUGACUUGACCCAAAUCUAAUAUGCGGAGUAAAAAGGACCGGAGGGAGUAUCAGGUAAAGGAAGAAUUCUUGUCAUGUGUGACUUUGAUCAUUGUUUGUGACCAAUAAGGAUAGCUAUCCUUCUGGUGUUAAAAUGAUUCUGUGAUUGUUUCAGAGAUAAAAUGAUUACUACCUCCGUCUGGGUUACUAGUGACUUUCGUAUUUUGUGCUAAACUUUGACCUUAGUUGGUUUAUUAGUCCUUUUUGUAUUUUGUGCUAAACUUUGACUUUAGAUUUGAUUAACAAAAUAUAAGUUAUAUGCUACAAAAUUACAUUGGUAGAUUCUUAUUUGAAAGAAGUUUACAAUGAUAUAAUUUUUGUUGCAUAUAAAUCAUAUUGUGCUAGUUAAAUCUAUGUUAAAAUUUGACCCAAAAUGCGAGAGAACUAACAAACCCGGAUGAAGAUAGUACUUUUUUUAGAAUCGAUGAAGGUAGUACUUGAAAGAAAGGUGUUUAUCUGUCACAAGUCUUUCAGGAUUCAGAAAUAAAAUGUUUGUUUUCAAAGAAACGAUUUUUUAUCUACAAAAUAGAUAGGAUUCAUUUUCCACUAGACUGUUUGGAUUCAGAAUAAAUGAGGAAUUCGAUAUUUUUUUGUCACUAGUCUCUUUUGGAAUUAUCUCCACUAGCUCUAUCUUACCUUCUUCUCAGCGCGUUCGCCUCCGCAUUGCCUGCCAACUCCACCUCCAUGGCGCUAGCCGGCGCCGCCAACGCCACCUUCCGGCCCCGCCUGGUCACCGCCGCCGCUGACACCUCCGACACUAAUACUCGCCGCCGACACUGGAAGGCCGGCGAGUUCCCAUUCCCCACCACCUCCCCCUCCUCCGGCACGCAGCAGCGCCGGAGACCCCGGACCACGGAGCGCCCGCCCCCACCUCCACCGUCCAAGGGGGAAGACCCGGAGGGGAGAGGGCGCCAGAGGCACUGGAAGGCGGGGGAGGACCCGGAGGGGGGAGGGCGCCAGAGGCACUGGAGGGCGGGGGAGUUCCCGGCGGCGGCCGAGUCCCAAUCCCAGUCCGGGAGGAGGGGCCGCGCUCGCACCCCUAUCAAGAACGUCCAGAAGAGGCUCGACGCGCGCGCCGAUGCCAAGGCCUGGGCCUGCACAGUCACCGAGGCCCUCGCCGACCGCAUCGCCGCCAAGAACUGGCGGGAGGCGCUUCAGGUAACAGUCACCAACCAGCUAUACCAAUCAAAAUUUCCUUAUAAAUUUGUAAUUUCCCUUUUACUUUGCGUCGCACCAUUUUAGGAAUUACCAACUGAUUUGAUUUCCGAAAAAUGAAUAAAUAUGUGUAGGUCUUCGAGAUGCUCAAGGAGCAAACUUUCUACUAUCCCAAAGAGGGCACCUACAUGAAACUCCUCCUGUUGCUGGGGAGAUCAGGCCAGCCUUCUCUAGCACAAGACCUUUUCACCGAGAUGCAGCAGCAAGGAUGCCAGCCAACUCCCGAGCUUUACACGGCCUUGAUCGGGGCCUACUGCCGGAACGGCCUCCUAGACGAGGCACUCAAGCUUCUCGAAGACAUGAAGGCCGCCCCGCUGUGCCAGCCUGAUGUCUACACUUAUAGCAUCCUCAUCAAGGCCUUCGUCGACGCCUCAAGGUUCGACCUCGUCGAUGCUAUGUACAAAGAGAUGGCUGAGCGCUCCGUGACACCCAACACGGUCACGCAGAACAUUGUUCUCAGUGGCUACUGCAGAGCAGGAAGGCUGGACGAUAUGGAGAAGCUACUCUCUGCGAUGCUCGAAAGUGCAAAUUGUAAACCGGAUGUCUGGACCAUGAACAUUAUCCUAAGCCUGUUUGGGAACAGUGGCCAGGUUGAGCUGAUGGAGAAGUGGUACGAGAAAUUCCGAGGCUAUGGGAUCGAGCCAGAGACUCGGACGUUCAACAUUCUCAUUGGUGCUUACGGGAAGAAGCGGAUGUAUGACAAGAUGUCUGCGGUGAUGGAAUACAUGCGCAGGCUAGCAUUUCCAUGGACGACUGCUACAUACAACAAUGUGAUCGAGGCAUUUGCUGUGGCAGGUGAUGCCAAAAACAUGGAGGACACAUUUAACCAGAUGCGCUCAGAGGGGAUGAAGCCAGAUACAAAGACCUUCUGUUGUCUAAUAAACGGGUUCAGCAAUGCAGCCCUUUUCCACAAGGUGGUAGGCAUGGUAAAGCUUGCUGAGAGGCUCGAUGUACCGGCGAAUACGUCUUUCCACAACUCUGUUCUUGCGGCAUGUGCGAAAGCGGAGGAUCUGAUGGAAAUGGAGAGGGUCUUCAGGCACAUGAAGCAUAUGCAGUGUGAAGCAGAUGCCAUCACAUACUCCAUCUUGUUGGAAGCUUAUCGGAAGGAAGGAAUGACCGACAAGAUGUAUGCUCUGCAACAGGAGAACCCAAGUUUGGUUUCGACUGAGCUUGUCAUGGUGUAACUAACCUCAUAAAUUGAUUAUGGUGUUGAGUUCAUCUGACUGAAAUGAAAAAUCCGUUCCUCUUCAUGUCUGGAAUUAAUAGUGCAACCUAGCAAAUUAACUACUGCCAGAAUUGUUUUAUUUCUGUUGACCUACAAGAUUAGUAUGUAUGAUAACUGUAUUGCUGUAAGGACAGAGAAGCUUCAUUAUAUCAACUCUCAAGUGAUAUGCCACUAUUUAGUACCUCCUUUGUUCCAAAUAAGUGACGUGCUUUAGUUCAAAUUGUUUGAACUAAAUCAUGACAGUUAUUAUGGAAUGGAGGGAGUAUACAUUUUGAUCCUAGCAGUCAUAGUCAUUUUGUUUUGGAAUGUGUCUGUAAGCUGAUUCAGACAAAGGUUUGUGUGGAGUGAAUAUCCUUCUAGCUUGUCAGGUGAAGUUGAGAUUAUAUCAGGUUCAUUUUCAUGUUAACGGUAACUGCUAAAAUAACAAAUGGUCAUUUCAUUUGGCGCAGUAGACCUGUUUUUAUUGCUAGGUGAAUGAUAUGUGCUUUUGAUUGACUACUAACCAUGGUUUCUAUAAUAGCAUGUACUAUGUCAGGAGAGUUGAGGCACUCAUCUCGUGGGUCUGCAGUCUGUUCAGAAAUAAUUUUUAGUACUACUUGGUUUGAGAAGGUACUGACGAUAAACCCCUUUCUCUUCCACCCCUAAUUCAUCUGAAGUACUCUGUUUCUUGUUUUCCCAUCCCAUGAUUGAAUCAAUGGUUCAGGAACUAGAAAAAUAUGAUCCCGUAUUCUUGCAGCGAAGCCCAUCUGGAACUGGAAUAUGGGGUUAAAAAGCACUGUAUGUUCGUACCAUUUCUAAGUGUAACAUGCCUUCUUGUCUUCUAUAAGUAUAGAUUUGGUGUUCUAAAUCAGCGACAAUUAAUAUGGAUCGGAGGGAGUAGCAUACAAUCCUGGAAUACAUUCUGGAAUUUCCAUUCGGUUGCUAUAACAUGCUUUGUGUUUUCUCAGCAUUUUUUUUGCUAUACUGUUUUAGUGAAGACAAGUAUAAGCUGGGACCCACUAUUGAUAAAUACUCCCGAUGUAGCCUGAAGACAUACGUGCGACGAUGGCUGCUACAAAUAUCACUUGGCAAGGCACAGUAAAUCUUUGUCCAUUUACCUACUUUGGAAUAAGCAAAUAAAGAGCCAAUGAUAAAAGGGGAGAGUGAGAGAACAGAAGCCACCAUUGUUAUGGUUGGCAGUAAAUUUUGGCUUGGAGCCACAUGAUACAUACGUGGGUAACUGGGCAUGCUACUCUGUCUUAACCAGUCUGAGAAUUUCUAAAGUAUUCUUUUGAGUAUCCAGGUGUUUGUAGCCAGUAUGCGCAAAAUCUAUUUCUAGCUGCAUUCUCAACUGAUGUGGGUAACAUGCGUCAAUACAUGUUUCCAGAUUGUAGUCGGCCCUAGUUCUUGGCACCCCCAGAAGCUUUGCUUGGAGAACGAAAUGUUGAGAGCACACCGUAAAUGUUUGCAAGUAUGGUAGGAAAGCUGUAAAUAGAACAGAAGCUAACUUACAGGAAGAAUUCGGCCUUUGGGUUACCAUAUCAUACUUAUCAGUAUUCUUUUUUUUUUUGACAACUCAUCUUGUUCCAUGCAUUUAAGUGUUUCUUAUGGCUACAGGAAUUUGAACGUCUCAGGUGGGUGGUUAAUCCAAAGAAGCCGACCAGCUGUCUCAUACAGGUAGCUAAGGAAUGGGCUUCACCAUUGGUGGUCCUUCGCUCAAAAUUUAUCUCGGCACUCUCAAAAUUAUGCAUCUUCUCUGAUAUUUCACGUGCUAUGUGUGUAAAUCACCAUCAUUCCUUACUACAGGCUACACGCUAUAACCACUCAAGCUCGAUGAUCAACUCAUAGAGACAAGGAUUAUCAACUUAUAUUAUAUGCCCAACACCAUGCUCCUUGUACACUUGGAUUAUGAACAAGAGAUGCAACUUUCUUUAGAGGUUUCUUGACAUCAAUCUUGACUCUUAACCCUGAAGAAGUUGCCCUCAAAAUCUUGGGAAACACACCCGCCAAAAAAAAUCUUGGGAAACAGCGCUGCAAAAACAAAUUCUCCCACUUUCCCUACAAAGGAUUUCAGCAAUUUGUGUGUACCCAUGUGGAAGAUCAUGUAUUUGAAUCCAUAUCAACAGAUCUAACUUCAUCCAAUAGGGUUUGGUGAAGCCAUCAUAAGGUGCAAGAAUAACAGUGUUUCCCAAAAAGUCCAGGGGUCCUCUUCAAUGACUCUCCCAAUCACCCAGACACGAAAACUGAGUCGUAUACAAAUUAUCAGACAGCGGGCAAGGCUUCACAUCCUGCACAAGAUCCUAGGCUACCCGCAUGUUCUUGUAGGACCAAGGUUGGCUAUAGGGUUUAGCCGUGGGAACCCUGUAACGCCCCGGACACACCCAUCGGUGGUCGUUAUUCAUGGCGGGAUCUAGACUGGCCCCACAAAUCAAUACUAGUCCUUUCUGCACACUUUGUGCUCACUUGUGCGCACCCAGGAGCAACUUUUCGGUCGGUCACCUAUCUUGAAACUACUCCAAGCUGAGAACGCUUAACUUUAAAGUUCUGUCCGAAUGGGUUUCCGGAAAAGAAGAAAUUCCUUAUUGAUAUGAGUAGUCUAUCAUCCCUAUUAAGGUAGACUAUCACAUACACCCCCACUCAACGGGUCACAAACAUCAUGAACAACAUGACCGCACACCUAUCCGCAAACAUCCGUGUAACCGUGAGGGUCGGCUCUGAUACCAACUUGUAACGCCCCGGACACAGCCAUCGGUGGUUGUUACUCUUGGCGGUAUCUAGACUGGCCUCACAAAUCAAUACUAGUCUUUUCUGCACACUUUGUCCUCACUCGUGCGCGCCCAGGAGCAACUUUCCGGUCGGUUACCCAUCCUAAAACUACUUCAAGCUAAGCACGCUUAACUUUGGAGUUCUGUCCGAAUGGUCUUCCGAAAAAGAAGGAAUUCCUUAUUGAUAUGAGUAGUCUAUCAUCCCUAUUAAGCCAGACUAUCACAAACCCCGACGAUGGCCAUCCAACAUGUUGUAGCCACCGGCAGUGCUUCCUCCUGCUCUACAACAACAUCUUGAUUCUCCUCCGUCAAAUGAGUUCUUUCAUCAUUGCUUCGACGUCACUCAAGACUUCUCCCGAUCCAAACGCUUCCUUCUCCAUUGGUUAUCCUAGCCCGAAGAUCAAUCUACCGGGCCAUGGGGAACCCGAGUAAGCUAGACAAGACCAGGAAACGACACUAGGUCGUCCCUUAAUCAGUUUGAACUAGUCCUGCAGGAGAUGGCGAAAGGUUGGGAGGAAACUCGACGUUGGCUGGAAUCGGUACCAUGAAGAACAGAAACCCUAACUCGAGGGGAAUGACAACGAAAAAGGUGGCGCACUGCAUGCAUACACUUUUUUUGAGGCGGCAUCGCUAAGCUUUAUUAAUCGACUGAAAUGUUUACAGGAAUAGACACGGUGUUGAAGCGAAUUCCAAUCCACACAUGGCGUCCCAAACUCAAAGAACUCGUGAACUAGCUAUGUAUUGAGCUUCAUAGUUAUUAUUACGCCGCUUAUGGCUAAAAAGACAUUCUGAAAAGGAUCAGACCACUGCCCGAUCUCCUUCGUGAUGGCUGCAUGAAAUCACAUACCCCCAUUCUUGAUAUCGUCAAUUAUAACUUUGCAAUCCGAGGUAAUGUGAAUCUUCUGUUGUGCGAAAUCUUUUGCUAAGCAAAGGCCUUCUUGACAUGCAAUUGCUUCAGCCGAGUUGGGUCAGACGUGCCUCUAUACACCAUGGCUGAAGCAUCCAAGUAGGUGUCGUCCAUACAACGUUCAAGGGAUUGUGAAUUUUCUUAGCAACUUUAAUUUCUUCAAUAUAGUUAUUGAUGAACAAUGGGUUGAUCAUGGGCUUUGCAAUACAUCCUCAUGUAUUGCCUUCCUCCUUGCUGACCAAAUAGCCACUACUGAAAAAAUAUUUAGGUGGGCUCAAAUUAGAGCCAGGGGAGGAUAGGUACCUGUCACUGAGCAGUUGCCAUUGAGAAUGUAGUGGGUGACUUAGCACAAGCAGCGCGCAACAGGUCCUUUGCAGAUGUAAAUACCUGGAUUUCUGAGAAGUGAGCUUGGGACCGCUUUCUUGCGAGUACUGGGCAAGCCGGUCAGAUAAGAUGGAACCCUAUCCAUCAAGUAGCAAUGGGGGUAAAAAGUGUCGCCAGCCACUCCUGUGUGGAUAGCAGUGGCGGGCAAACAUAACCACCCGCCACUCGUAAUUUUUUACAAAUUUACCUGUGGGAUCAUAAAACCAGCAGUGGCGAGUGACAAACUCAAGCCCGCCACUAGUUUGCCAUGCACCACUGGCGAGCCAAAAAUUUGUUGCCACAUCAAUAUUUCGAUGACAUGCGUCAAUUUCUCCCAAAAUUUCUAGAAAGUAAGCAGUGAUGGGUACACUAAAGCGUCCGUCACAUAUAUAGUAAGUCAGGAAAAUACUUGAAAGGUCAUAUUUACUAAAAUCAGAUUAGUCUAAAAUUAGUGGUGUGUAUUAAAUAUAUAAUUUUUUUUAAGUUGAAAUGUGUAAAAAAAUAGAGUUCCGUGUGGUAGGCGGCACUUUCCUUUCAAAACCCUGACACUUCCCUGGAGAGUGUUCGGCUUGUAUUUGAAGUGCAUCAAAUUUUACCUUAACGCUAUCAAAUUUUUACCAAACUCUAAAGUGAUCCUAUGAAGACAACAUGCCAAGUUUCAUCUAUUUCCGAACUCUUUUGCACGUUAUUUGAAACCGAAGAGCAUUUUGCCCUUUUUAAUGGCUGAAAAAUCAGUUAAUGCUUUUAAAAUAGCAAACCAACUAAAAAGUAUCUAAAUUUGAGCAUGGGACUUCCAAUGGUGUGUACUCCCUCCUUCCCAAAAUAUAAGGCGUCAGUUGAUUUUUUUUGGUCUUUAUUGCACAAUUUUGACUAUAAUUUUCAUGUAUUAUAUGAUAAAAAAUUAGUAUACAUACAUAUGAAAUAAAAUUAUUUUGCAAGUCAAAUACGACAAUGCCAUUCAUAUAUGUCAAUCCAUGGAUUUUAAUAUAUAUUAGUGGUAAAACUCGUGCGUCAAAUAUCGUGCAAAGUCAAUCACACCUUAUAUUUUGGGAAAGAGGGAGUAUUAAACAUAGAAAAAAUGAAGUUAAAAUGAUGAAAAAAAGAGUUGUUCGUGGAAGUUGGUGGUAUUCGUUCGAAACCUGAUACUUUGCCAGAGAGUGUUCAAUUUGUAUCCAAUUUUCCCUGUAACGCCCUCAAAUUUCUAUCGCCCUACAGGUGUCCUAUGAAGACACCAUGUCAAGUUUCAUCCAUUUCUGAGCUUAUUUGCAUGUUAUUUGACAUCAGAGAGCGUUUUGCCCUUUUAAUGGCUAGAAAACCAGUUAAUGCUUUAAAAGCAGCAUACCAACCCAAAAGUGUCCACUUUUGAGAACGAGACUUCCAAUGGUGUGUAGUAGACAUAGAAAAAGUUUGAAGAUGAAAUGAUGUAAAAAAAGUUUUCUGUGGAAGGCGGUGGUAUUCGUUCUAAACCCUCAUACCUCACCGAAGAGUGUUCGGUUUGUUCACAAAGUGAUUCUGGUUUUCCAUGUAACGCCCUGAAAUUUUUACCACGCCCUACAUGGGUCCUAUGAAGACACCAUGCCAAGUUUAAUCCAUCUCCGAGCUCGUUUGCACAUUAUUUGAAACCGAAGAGUGUUUUGCCCCUUUUAAUGGCCGGAAAACUAGUUAAUGCUUUAAAAAUAACAUACUAAAUAAAAAAGCAGCCAAAUUUGAGCAUGGGACUUCCAAUGGUGUGUAUUAAACAUAUAAAAGUUUGAAGUUGAAAUGAUGUAAAAAAAGGAGUUUGCCUAUGUCGGUUUCCCUCGGAAGCUUAUGGACUUCACAUUAUCGCUGAUUUUUCACUGGAUUGGUUUGAGGCCGAUAAUAUUGUUUUUCAUGAAAAGUUCAAAAAAGUAGAAAACAACUGGCAUUGGGCGCUGAAUUAAUACGUUAGUCCAGAAAAUAAGUAUAAAUUGGUGCCGGAACUGCACCAAAAUGAUAUAAAUAUAGCAUGAAACAAUAAAAAAUUAUAGAUGCAUUUGAGAAGUAUCAAGUACCUAAAUCAGUGAAUGAUAGAUCAACAUGAUAAUAUGAGUACCCCAAAAUUUCUACUCCCUCCGAUCCAUAUUAAUUGUCGUAACUUUAGUUCAACUUUCUUCUAAAGUUGUAUUAAAGUUGAGGAUAAUUAACAUGGAUCUAAUUGUAUUUUUUCUAGAAUGGAUUUCUUAUGGGAAUACUAAUGGAUGAGCCACUACGAAUAAAUUAUGGGAGUUACGAAAGAAGCUUCAAACUCAUAUUGUUCAUGGGUUUAGAGCGGGAGUUGAACUUAGGAGGUCGAAUCCUCCCUUGUUCCUCAGUAGCUCAGUGGUAGAGCGGUCGGUUGUUAACUGACUGGUCGUAGGUUCGAAUCCUACUUUGGUUGGAGUUCGAAAAAGGAUAAAAAUAAAGUAAAUUCAAGGAAGAGCUUUCUUUGGAGGAAGUAUUUUUAUUUCGUUGUUCCAGAACACACCAAUACCACCACUUCUAGGAGCUUGCAUCUGCAUAACUACUAUCAAAACCAAUAACUAGCCAUACUUUCUACUCUCACUUUGCUUAACUAAGUUUCAAUAUACAAAGGAUAGUAGUGGUGGACUGUUGCAUUAAAGUGCAAAGCUCUCGAACCAUCGCUCGCCGCCAAUCCCACGAGAAUUCCAGCAAAGAACAAUCAUUACUGCUGGCUCGAUCCCGGAGCCCACCAAUUUAUCAUCAAAAUUCUUAGAUUUAUAGGGUGAAGUACCCUUCUUAAGUUUCUUUCUACCCCGUGGUCUCACAUAUUCAAGAGGAGGAGGUGGAGCUGGUAGCCCAUUCUUGUUCUACCCAACAUGCCAGUUGCAUCUCCAUGCAAAUUGUUCUCACAGGUGUCCCAUGGAUCCUCAGUUUCUUGCUCAAUUGCAUGCACUGGCCCUGUGCCAAAGUCUAGUUUCUUAGCUUUACUGCUUUGGGCUUUAUCCUCUCCCUCUUGAGAUGAAGCAUUCUUUAGAGGACUCCAUGAAGUGACAUCUAGAUCAUCAGCGCCAUUAGGAUGCAGGCCUGCUUUCCCAAAGGGCCACUUGUGUGGGUUGUUACCUUCACUUCCGUUUUGGCCACUGAUAACCCACAAGUAUAGGGGAUCGCAACCGUUUUCGAGGGUAGAGUAUUCAACCCAAAUUUAUUGAUUCGACACAAGGGGAGCCAAAGAAUAUUCUCAAGCAUUAACAGUUGAGUUGUCAAUUCAACCGCACCUGAAAGACUUAAUAUCUGUAGCAAAGUAUUUAGUAGCAAAGUAAUAUGGAAGUAACGGUAACGGUGGCAAAACUAAUAAUAGUAGUUUUUGUAGUGAUUAUAACAGUGGCAACGGAAAAGUAACUAAGCAAAGAUCAAUAUGUGAAAAGCUCGUAGGCAAUGGAUCAGUGAUGGAUAAUUAUGUCAGAUGUGAUUCCUCAUGCAACAGUUAUAACAUAGGGUGACACAGAACUAGCUCCAGUUCAUCAAUGUAAUGUAGGCAUGUAUUUCGAAUAUAGUCAUACGUGCUUAUGGAAAAGAACUUGCAUGACAUCUUUUGUCCUACCCUCCCGUGGCAGCGGGGUCCUAUCGGAAACUAAGGGAUAUUAAGGCCUACUUUUAAUAGAGUACCAGAACAAAGCAUUAACACUUAGUGAAUACAUGGACUCCUCAAACUAUAGUCAUCACCGGGAGUGGUCCCGAUUAUUGUCACUUCAGGGUUACCGAAUCAUAACACAUAGUAGGUGACUAUUGACUUGCAAAAUAGGAUCAAGAACUCACAUAUAUUAAUGAAAACAUAAUAGGUUCAGAUCUGAAAUCAUGGCACUCGGGCCCUAGUGACAAGCAUUAAGCAUAGAAAAGUCAUAGCAACAUCAAUCUCGGAACAUAAUGGAUACUAGGGAUCAAACCCUAACAAAACUAACUCGAUUACAUGAUAAAUCUCAUCCAACCCAUCACCGUCCAGCAAGCCUACGAUGGAAUUACUCAAGCACGGAGGUGAGCAUCAUGAAAGUGAUGGAGGAAGGUUGAUGAUCACGAUGGCGACGGAUUCCCCUCUCCGGAGCCCCAAACAGACUCAGAUCAGCCCUCCCGAGAGAGAUUAGGGCUUGAGAGCGGCUCCGUAUCGUAAAACGCGAUGAAUCCUUCUCCUUUAUUUUUUUCUCCCCGAACAUGAAUAUAUAGAGUUGGAGUUGAGUUCGGUGGAGCCUCAGGGGGGCCCACGAGAUAGGAGGGCGCGCCCCCACCCUCGUGGACAGGGUGUGGGCCCCCUGGUGUGAAGGAAAUAUGCCCUAGAGGCAAUAAUAAAGUUGUUAUUUAUAUUUCCUUAUAUCAUGAUAAAUGUUUAUUAUUCAUGCUAGAAUUGUAUUAACCGGAAACUUAGUACAUGUGUGAAUACAUAGACAAACAGAGUGUCACUAGUUUGCCUCUACUUGACUAGCUCGUUGAAUCAAUGAUGGUUAUGUUUCCUAACCAUAGACAUGAGUUGUCACUUGAUUAACAGGAUCACAUCAUUAGAGAAUGAUUUGAUUGAAUUGACCCAUCCGUUAGCUUAACACGAUGAUCGUUUAGUUUGUUGCUAUUGCUUUCUCCAUAACUUAUACAUGUUCCUAUGACUAUGAGAUCAUGCAACUCCCGAAUACCGGAGGAACACUUAGUGUGCUAUCAAAUGUCACAACGUAACUGGGUGACUAUAAAGAUGCUCUACAGGUGUCUCCAAUGGUGUUUGUUGAGUUGGCAUAGAUCGAGAUUAGGAUUUGUCACUCCGAGUAUCGGAGAGGUAUCUCUAGGCCCUCUCAGUAAUGCACAUCACUAUAAGCCUUGCAAGCAAUGUGACUAAUGAGUUAGUUGCGGGAUGAUGCAUUACAGAACGAGUAAAGAGACUUGCCGGUAACGAGAUUGAACUAGGUAUUGAGAUACCGACGAUCGAAUCUCGAGCAAGUAACAUAUCGAUGACAAAGGGAACACCGUAUAUCGUUAUGUAGUUUGACCGAUAAAGAUCUUCGUAGAAUAUGUGGGAGCCAAUAUGAACAUCCAGGUUCCGCUAUUGGUUAUUGACCGGAGAUGUGUCUCGGUCAUGUCUACAUAGUUCUUGAACCCGUAGGGUCCGCACGGUUAAUGUUCGGUGACGAUCGGUAUUAUGAGUUUAUGUGUUUUGAUGUACCGAAGGUAGUUCGGAGUCCCGGAUAUGAUAAUGGACAUGACGAGGAGUCUUGAAAUGGUUGGGACAUAAAGAUUGAUAUAUUGGACGGCUAUAUUCGGACACCGGAAGUGUUUCGGGUGAUUUCGGAGAAAACCAGAGUGCUGGAGGGUUACCGNNNNNNNNNNNNNNNNNNNNNNNNNNNNNNNNNNNNNNNNNNNNNNNNNNNNNNNNNNNNNNNNNNNNNNNNNNNNNNNNNNNNNNNNNNNNNNNNNNNNNNNNNNNNNNNNNNNNNNNNNNNNNNNNNNNNNNNNNNNNNNNNNNNNNNNNNNNNNNNNNNNNNNNNNNNNNNNNNNNNNNNNNNNNNNNNNNNNNNNNNNNNNNNNNNNNNNNNNNNNNNNNNNNNNNNNNNNNNNNNNNNNNNNNNNNNNNNNNNNNNNNNNNNNNNNNNNNNNNNGUUGGGCCUUCAUGGGCCACAGGGAAGAGGGGAGGUAGCCCACAAGGGGCAUCCGCGCCCCCUCCCUAUAGGGAGUCCGAAUUGGACUAGGGAGGGGGGCGCCCCCCCCUUUCCGUCUCCUCUUCCUCUCCCUUCCUUCCUUCCCCUUCUCCUCCUAGUAGGACUAGGAAAGGAGGUGUCCUACUCCAACUAGGAGGAGGAUUCCUCCUCCCUUGGCGCACCACUAGGGCCGGCCGUCCUCCUCCCUUGCUCCUUUAUAUACCGGGGCAGGGGGCAUCCUAGGACACACAAGUUGAUUGUUUCCAGCCGUGUGUGGUGCCCCCCCUCAACCAUAAUCCACCUCGGUCAUAUCAUAGCAGUGCUUAGGCGAAGCCCUAUUCCGGUAGCAUCAUCAUCACCGUCAUCACGCCGUCGUGCUGACGAAGCUCUCCCCCGACACUCUACUGGAUCGUGAGUUCGUGGGACGUCACCGAGCCGAAUGUGUGCAGAUCGCGGAGGUGCCGUACUUUCGGUACUAGGAUCGGUCAAUAAUGAAGACGUACGACUACGUGAACUGCGUUGUCAUAACGCUUCCGCUUAUGGUCUACGUGGGUACGUAGACAACACUCUCCCCUCUCGUUGCUAUGCAUCACCAUGAUCUUGCGUGCGCGUAGGAAUUUUUUUGAAAUUACUGAGUUCCCCAACAGUGGCAUCCGAGCCAGGUUUAUGCGUAGAUGUUAUAUGCACGAGUAGAACACAAAGAAGUUGUGGGCGUGGGUAUAUACAUAUUGCUUGCCGUCACUAGUUGAUUCUUGAUUCGGCGGUAUUGUUGGAUGAAGCGGCCCAGACCGACAUUACGCGUAUGCUUACGCGAGACUGGUUCUACCGACGUGCUUCGCACGCAGGUGGCUGAUGGGUGUCAGUUUCUCCAACUUUAGUUGAAUCAGAUUCAAUGAACAGGGUUCUUUCUGAAGAUAAAAAAGCAAUCACUAUACUGCGUUGUGGUUUUUGAUGCGUAGGUAAGAACGGUUCUUGCUCAGCCCGUAGCAGCCAUGUAAAACUUGCAACAACAAAGUAGAGGACGCCUAACUUGUUUUUGCAGGGCAUGUUGUGAUGUGAUAUGUUCAAGACAUGAUGCUAAAUUUUAUUGUAUGAGAAGAUCAUGUUUUGUAACACAGUUAUCAGCAACUGGCAGGAGCCAUAUGGUUGUCACUUUAUUGUAUGAAAUGCAAUUGCCAUGUAAUUGCUUUACUUUAUCACUAAGUGGUAGCGAUAGUCGUAGAAGCAAUAGUUGGCGAGGUGACAACGGUGCUUUGAUGGAGAUCAAGGUGUCAAGCCGGUGACGAUGGUGAUCAUGACGGUGCUUUGGAGAUGGAGAUCAAAGGCACAAGAUGAUGAUGGCCAUAUCAUAUCACUUAUAUUGAUUGCAUGUGAUGUUUAUCCUUUAUGCAUCUUAUUUUGCUUAGUUCGGCAGUAGCAUUAUAAGAUGAUCUCUCCCUAAAUUUCAAGGUAUAAGUGUUCUCCCUAAGUAUGCACCGUUGCUACAGUUCAUCGUGCCGAGACACCACAUGAUGAUCAGGUGUGAUAAGCUCUACGUUCACAUACAACGGGUCCAAGCCAGUUUUGCACACGCAGAAUACUCGGGUUAAACUUGACGAGCCUAGAUUAUGCAGAUAUAGCCUCGGAACACUGAGACCGAAAGGUCGAGCAUGAAUCAUAUAGUAGAUAUGAUCAACAUAGUGAUGUUCACCAUUGAAAACUACUCCAUCUCACGUGAUGAUCGGACAUGGUUUAGUUGAUAUGGAUCACGUGAUCACUUAGAUGAUUAGAGAGAUGUCUAUCUAAGUGGGAGUUCUUAAGUAAUUUGAUUAAUUGAACUUUAAUUUAUCAUGAACUUAGUACCUCAUAGUAUUUUGCAUGUCUAUGUUGUUGUAGAUAGAUGGCCCGUGCUGUUGUUCCGUUGAAUUUUAAUGCGUUCCUAGAGAAAGCUAAGUUGAAAGAUGAUGGUAGAAACUACACGGACUGGGUCCGUAACUUGAGGAUUAUCCUCAUUGCCGCACAGAAGAAUUACGUCCUGGAAGCACCGCUAGGUGACAAACCCGCUGCAGGAGCAACGCUAGAUGUUGUGAACACCUGGCAGAGCAAAGCUGAUGACUACUCGAUAGUUUAGUGUGCCAUGCUUUACGGCUUAGAACCGGGACUUUAACGAUGUUUUGAACGUCAUGGAGCAUAUGAGAUGUUCCAGGAGUUGAAGUUAAUAUUUCAAGCAAAUUCCCAGAUUGAGAGAUAUGAAGUCUGAUACGUCUCCGUCGUAUCUAUAACUUUUGAUUGUUCCAUGCCAAUAUUCUACAACUUUCAUAUACUUUUGGCAACUUUUUAUACUAUUUUUGGGACUAACAUAUUGAUCCAGUGCACAGUGCCAGUUCCUGUUUGUUGCAUGUUUUUGUUUCGCAGAAAACCCAUAUCAAACGGAGUCCAAACGGGAUAAAAACUGAUGGAGAUUUUUUGUAAUAUAUGUGAUUUUUGGGAAGAAGAAUCAACGCGAGACGAUGCCCGAGGGGGCCACGAGGCAGGGGGCGCGCCCCAGGGGGUCAGGAGCGCCCUGGCCCUCGUGGCCACCCCGUAAGGUGGUUGGUGCCCUUCUUUCGCUGCAAGAAAGACAAUAUCCGGAUACAAAUCGUGUUAAAAUUUCAUCCCAAUAGGAGUUACGGAUCUCCGGAAAUUUAAGAAACGGUGAAAGGGCAGAAUCAGGGAGCGCAGAAACAGAGAGAGACAAAUCCAAUCUCGGAGGGGCUCUCGCCCCUCCCACGCCAUGGAUACCAUGGACCAGAGGGGAAACCCUUCUCCCAUCUAGGGAGAAGGUCAAGGAAGAAGAAGAAGGAGGGGGGCUCUCUCCCCCUCGCUUCCGGUGGCGCCGGAACGCCGCCGGGGCCAUCAUCAUCACCGCAAUCUACACCAACACCUCUGCCAUAUUCACCAACAUCUCCAUCACCUUCCCCCCUCUAUCUACAACGGUCCACUCUCCCGCAACCCGAUUUACCCUCUACUUGAACAUGGUUCUUUAUGCUUCAUAUUAUUAUCCAAUGAUGUGUUGCCAUCCUAUGAUGUCUAAGUAGAUUUUCGUUGUCCUAUCGGUAAUUGGUGAAUUGCUAUGAUUGGUUUAAUUUGCUUGUUGUUAUGUUGCUGUCCUUUGGUGCCCAUCAUAUGAGCGCGUGCAUGGAUCAGACCAUAGGGUUAGUUGUAUGUUGAUAGGACUAUGUAUUGGAGGGCAAGAGUGACAGAAGCUUCAACCUAGCAUAGAAAUUGAUGCAUACGGGAUUGAAGGGGGACCAAUAUAUCUUAAUGCUAUGGUUGGGUUUUACCUUAAUGAACGUUAGUAGUUGCGGAUGCUUUCUAAUAGUUCCAAUCAUAAGUGCAUAGAAUUCCAAGUCAGGGAUGACAUGCUAGCAGUGGCCUCUCCCACAUAAAACUUGCUAUCGGUCUAGUAAAGUAGUCAAUUGCUUAGGGACAAUUUCGCAACUCCUACUACCACUUUUCCACACUCGCUAUACUAACUUUGUUGCCUGUUUACCUAAACAUCCCCUACUUUUUAUUUACGUGCACUUUAUAUUCUUGCAAACCUAUCCAAAAACACCUACAAAGUACUUAUAGUUUCAUACUUGUUCUAGGUAAAGCGAACGUUAAGCGUGCGUAGAGUUGUAUCGGUGGUCGAUAGAACUUGAGGGAAUAUUUGUUCUACCAUUAGCUCCUUGUUGGGUUCGACACUCUUACUUAUCGAAAGAGGCUACAAAUGAUCCCCUAUACUUGUGGGUUAUCAAGGCCUUUUUCUUGCGCCGUUGCCGGGGACCAAUAGCGUGGGGUGAAUAUUCUCGUGUGUGCUUGUUUGCUUUAUCACUAAGUAAUUUUUAUUUGCUGUUCUAAGUUGUUCUAUAUCUUUAGUUAUGGAUAUGGAACACGGAAUACCAAAAAAAUUAGGUGUACCUGCUACUCAUGGAGAUGGGGAACCUCCUAAAACCCUCGAUGUUGGUUAUGUGAAAAAUAUUAUGUACUACUUUGAUAAUCAUGAGAAAACCCCAUUCAAUUAUGUAAUGGGAGACACGUUGGAUAAACGUGAAUACUUUAGGGAUUAUUUCUUGAAUCAAAAAGGGAAACUAUUAUGGGAUCAAAUUCAUAUGUUGCAUUGGUAUGCUCGGGAACUAUGCUUGAGAUAUGAUUAUACUUGUUACUCUAGGAUGAAGGCUCCACACCUUCCCUUUUCAUGCAAAUUUAAUGAUGAUAAAACCUUGGCAUCUUAUGCUAAUGGUAUAUAUGAUUACUAUGAUGUGGAACAAAUAGAAGAAUUUGUUGCUUUUAUGGGUGCUUAUGAAAUUGAAUCUUUGUUUAAAGAGUGUGAAAAUUUUGAUGAUUCAGUUUAUAGACCUGAAAAUUUAGCUAUCCUUAAAUAUUGCUAUGAGAAUUGUGAAUUCAAUUCCGACAUUGAUGAUUUUAUUGAGAGAGUCUCCGCUGUCCAAGAAGAGACUAAUAUUUUGCAGGAGUCUAUGGAAGAAGGAAUUGAUGAAACUGUGAGCUCAUUGGAUGAAAAAGAUGACGAGGAGAGCGAAGAACAAAAGGGGGAAGAGCGGAUUGAUAACCCGUGCCCACCUUCUAAUGAUAGUAAGUCUUCAACUCAUACAUUGUUUAAUUUCCCUUCAUGCUUACCGAAGGAUGAAUCCUAUGAUGAUUGUUAUGAUCCCGUUGAUUCUCUUGAAAUAUCCCUUUUUGAUGAUGCUUGCUAUGCGUGUGUCCAAGAUGCCAAUAUGAAUUAUGCUUAUGGAUAUGAACUUGCUAUAGUUCCUUAUGUUAAACAUGAAAUUGUUGCUAUUGCACCCACGCAUGAUAGUCCUACUAUCUUUUUGAAUUCUCCCAACUACACUAUAUCGGAGAAGUUUGCACUUAUUAAGGAUUAUAUUGAUGGGUUGCCUUUUACCGUUGCACAUGAUAAUUUUGAUGACUAUAAUAUGCAUGUGCUUGCUGCUCCUACUUGCAAUUAUUAUGAGAGAGGAACUACAUCUCCGCCUCUUUAUGUUUCCAACACGAUAGAAUUGCAAGAAACUGUUUAUACUAUGCAUUGGCCUUUACUAUGUGUGCAUGAAUUGUUCUUUUAUGACAUGCUGAUGCAUAGGAAGAUAGUUAGACUUCGUCAUUGCUUGAUAUAUGUUACUUUUUGCUCACUACUAAAUUACAAAUCAUUGUUGAUUCAAAUUGGCUUUGAUAUACCUUGGGAUCCGGGUGGAUCCAUUACUUGAGCACUAUAUGCCUAGCUUAAUGGCUUUAAAGAAAGCGCUGCCAGGGAGACAACACGGUAGUUUUAGAGAGUCAUUUAUUUCUGUUGUGUGCUUUUAUAAAGUUUAGAAUAAAAAUAAUGUGCCAAGGUUUUCCUUUAGGAUGUUUACAUUGAUUGUUGGUUUGUGCGGUGCAGGACAGAAACUUUGGCUGUAGUGCACGAUUUUACAUUUUUUACUGGAACGUUAAACGGUUUUGAAACCUUUUGCAUUGUCUUUAUAUACAUUUUUUUUAUUUUUACUAAUUUUGGUAGAAUGUUUGGAGUAACAGAAGUAUGGUGAAUGUUCAGAUUACUAGAGACUGUCCUGUUUAAGAUAGAUUCUGUUUUUGAUGCAUAGUUUGCGUGUUUUGAUGAAACUAUCGAUUUAUAUCAGUGGAUUAAGCCAUGGAAAAGUUAUAUUACAGUAGCUACAAUACAAAAACAAAAUACGAAUUGGUUUGCAACAGUACUUAGAGUAGUGAUUUGCUUUAUUAUACUAACGGAUCUUACCGAGUUUUCUGUUGAAGUUUUGUGUGGAUGAAGUGUUCGAAGAUCGAGGAUGUCUCGAUGUGAGGAUAAGGAGGAGAGACAAGAGCUCAAGCUUGGGGAUGCCCAAGGCACCCCAAGUAAAUAUUCAAGGAGACUCAAGCAUCUAAGCUUGGGGAUGCCCCGGAAGGCAUCCCAUCUUUCUUCAACAAGUAUCGGUAUGUUUUCGGAUGCGUUUCGUUCAUGCGAUAUGUGCAAUCUUGGAGCAUCUUUUGCAUUUAGUUUUCACUUUUAUUUUAUGCACCAUGCUGGUAUGAGAUAGUCCUUGGUUGAUUUAUAGAAUUCUCAUUGCACUUCACUUAUAUCUUUUGAGUAUGGCUUUAUAGAAUGCUUCAUCUGCUUCGCUUAUAUCAUUUGAAGUUUGGAUUGCCUGUUUCUCUCCACAUAGAAAACCGCCAUUUGUAGAAUGCUCUUUUGCUUAACUUAUAUUUGUUAGGGCGUGGGCAUAUCUUUUGUAGAAAGAAUUAAACUCUCUUGCUUCACUUAUAUCUAUUUAGAGAGUUGACAGGAAUUGGUCAUUCACAUGGUUAGUCAUAAAAUCCUACAUAAAACUUGUAGAUCACUGAAUAUGAUAUGUUUGAUUCCUUGCAAUAGUUUUGCGAUAUAAAGGUGGUGAUAUUAGAGUCGUGCUAGUUGAGUAAUUGUGAAAUUGAGAAAUACUUGUGUUGAGGUUUGCAAGUCCCGUAGCAUGCACGUAUGGUGAACCAUUAUGUAACGACGUUGGAGCAUGAGGUAUUUAUUGAUUGUCUUCCUUAUGAGUGGCAGUCGGGGACGAGCGAUGGUCUUUUCCUACAAAUCUACCCCCCUAGGGGCAUGCAUAGUAGUACUUUACUUUGAGGGCUAAUAAACUUUUGCAAUAAGUAUAUGAGUUCUUUAUGACUAAUGUGAGUCCAUGGAUUAUACGCACUCUCACCCUUCCAUCAUUGCUAGCCUCUUCGGUACCGUGCAUUGCCCUUUCUCACCUCGAGAGUUGGUGCAAACUUCGCCAGUGCAUUCAAACCCCGUGAUACGAUACACUCUAUCACACAUAAACGUCCUUAUAUCUUCCUCAAAACAGCCACCAUACCUACCUAUCAUGGCAUUUCCAUAGCCAUUCUGAGAUAUAUUACCAUGCAACUUUCAUCAUCAUCAUAUACAUGACUUGAGCAUUUAUUGUCAUAUUGCUUUGCAUGAUCGUAAGAUAGCUAGCAUGAUGUUUUCGUGGCUUGUCCGUUUUUUGAUGUUAUUGCUAUGCUAGAUCAUUGCACAUCCCGGUAAACCGCCUGAGGCAUUCAUAUAGAGUCAUAUCUUUGUUCUAGUAUCUAGUUGUAAUAUUGAGUUGUAAGUAAAUAGAAGUGUGAUGAUCAUCAUUAUUAGAGCAUUGCCCCAGUGAGGAAAGGAUGAUGGAGACUAUGAUUCCCCCACAAGUCGGGAUGCGACUCCGUACUUUAAAAAUAAAUGAAAGAGGCCAAAGAAGCCCAAAUAAAAAAGAGAGGCCAAAGAGGCCCACCAAAACAAAAAAAUAAAGAAGAAGAAGAAGAAGAAGAAGAAGAAGAAGAAGAAGAAGAAGAAGAAGAAGAAGAAACAACAAAAAAUGAGAGAAGAAGAGAGAAGGGGCAAUGUUACUAUCCUUUUACCACACUUGUGCUUCAGAGUAGCACCAUGUUCUUCAUAUAGAGAGUCUCUUGAGUUAUCACUUUCAUAUACUAGUGGGAAUUUUCAUUAUAGAACUUGGCUUGUAUAUUCCAAUGAUGGGCUUCCUCAAAUGCCCUAGGUAUUCAUGAGCAAGCAAGUUGGAUGCACACCCACUUAGUUUCAGUCUGAGCUUUCAUACACUUAUAGCUCUAGUGCAUCUGUUGCAUGGCAAUCCCUACUCCUCACAUUGACAUCAAUUGAUGGGCAUCUCCAUAGCCCGUUGAUUAGCCGCGUCGAUAUGAGACUUUCUCCCUUUUUACCUUCUUCACACAAACCUCCAUCAUCAUAUUCUAUUCCACCCAUAGUGUUAUGUCCAUGGUUUGUGCUCAUGUAUUGCGUGAGAGUUGAAAAGGCUGAAGCGCAUUAAAAAGUAUGAACCAAUUGCUCGGCUUGUCAUCGGGGUUGUGCAUGAUUUGAAUGCUUUGUGUGGUGAAGAUGGAGCAUAGCCAGACUAUAUGAUUUUGUAGGGAUGAGCUUUCUUUGGCUAUGAUAUUUUGAUAAGACAUAAUUACUUGGUUAGUAUGCUUGAAGUAUUAUUGUCUUAAUGUCAAGUGAUAGACUAUUGCUUUGAAUCACUCGUGUCUUAAUAUUCAUGCCAUGAUUAGAUAAAUGAUCAAUAUUAUGCUAGGUAGCAUUCCACAUCAAAAAUUAUAUUUUUGUAUCAUUUACCUGCUCGAGGACGAGCAAGAAUUAAGCUUGGGGAUGCUGAUACGUCUCCGUCGUAUCUAUAAUUUUUGAUUGUUCCAUGCCAAUAUUCUACAACUUUCAUAUACUUUUCGCAACUUUUUAUACUAUUUUUGGGACUAACAUAUUGAUCCAGUGCCCAGUGCCAGUUCCUGUUUGUUGCAUGUUUUUGUUUCACAGAAAAUCCAUAUCAAGCGGAGUCCAAACGGGAUAAAAACCGACGGAGAUUUUUUUUGGAAUAUAUGUGAUUUUUAGGAAGAAGAAUCAACGCGAGACAAUGCCCGAGGGGGCCACGAGGCAGGGGGCGCGCCCGAGGGGGUCAGGAGCGCCCCUGGCCCUCGUGGCCACCCAUAAGGCGGUUGGUGCCCUUCUUUCGCCGCAAGAAAGACAAUAUCCGGAUACAAAACGUGUUAAAAUUUCAGCCCAAUCGGAGUUACGGAUCUCCGAGAAUUUAAGAAAUGGUGAAAGGGCAGAAUUAGGGAGCGCAGAAACAGAGAGAGACAGAGAGACAAAUCCAAUCUCGGAGGGACUCUCGCCCCUCCCACGCCAUGGAGACCAUGGACCAGAGGGGAAACCCUUCUCCCAUCUAGGGAGAAGGUCAAGGAAGAAGGAGAAGGAGGGGGGCUCUCUCCCCCUCGCUUCUGGUGGCGCCGGAACACCGUCGGGGCCAUCAUCAUCACCACAAUCUACACCAACACCUCUGCCAUCUUCACCAACAUCUCCAUCACCUUCCCCCCUCUAUCUACAGUGGUCCACUCUCUCGCAACCCGUUGUGCCCUCUACUUGAACAUGGUGCUUUGUGCUUCAUAUUAUUAUCCAAUGAGGUGUUGACAUCCUAUGACGUCUGAGUAGAUUUUCGUUGUCCUAUCGGUAAUUGGUGAAUUUCUAUGAUUGGUUUAAUUUGCUUGUGGUUAUAUUGCUGUCCUUUGGUGCCCAUCAUAUGAGCGCGCACGUGGAUCACACCAUAGGGUUAGUUGUAUGUUGAUAGGACUAUGUAUUGGAGGGCAAGAGUGACAGAAGCUUCAACGUAGCAUAGAAAUUGAUGCAUACGGGAUUGAAGGGGGACCAAUAUAUCUUAAUGCUAUGGUUGGGUUUUACCUUAAUGAACGUUAGUAGUUGUGGAUGCUUGCUAAUAGUUCCAAUCAUAAGUGCAUAGAAUUCCAAGUCAGGGAUGACAUGCUAGCAGUGGCCUCUCCCACAUAAAACUUGCUAUCGGUCUAAUAAAGUAGUCAAUUGCUUAGGGACAAUUUCGCAACUCCUACCACCACUUUUCCACACUCGCUAUACUAACUUUAUUGCUUCUUUACCUAAACAGCCCCUACUUUUUAUUUACGUGCACUUUAUAUUCUUGCAAACCUAUCCAAAAACACCUACAAAGUACUUAUAGUUUCAUACUUGUUCUAGGUAAAGCGAACGUUAAGCGUGCAUAGAGUUGUAUCGGUGGUCGAUAGAACUUGAGGAAAUAUCUGUUCUACAUUUAGCUCCUCGUUGGGUUCGACACUCUUACGUAUCGAAAGAGGCUACAAUUGAUCCCAUAUACUUGUGGGUUAUCAAAGUCUCCAAUGAAUUCUACAGCUGCAAGAUGGAGGAGAAUAGUUUUGUUAGUGAACAUAGACUUAGAAUGUUUGGGUACCACAACCACUUGACUCAAAUGGGAGUUAAUCUUCCUGAUGAUAGUGUCAUUGACAGAGUUAUUCAAUCACUGCCACCAAGCUACAAGAGCUUCGUGAUGAACUGUAAUAUGCAAGGGAUGGAUAAGACGAUUCCUGAGUUCUUCGCAAUGCUAAAGGCUGCGAAGGUAGAAAUCAAGAAGGAGAAUGAAGUGUUGAUGGUCAACAAGACCACCAGUUUCAAGCAAAAGGGUAAAGGGAAGAAUGGGAACUUCAAGAAGAACAGCAAGCCAGUUGCUGCUCAAGUGAAGAAACCCAAGUCUAGACCUAAGCCUGAGACUGAGUGCUUCUACUGCAAAGGAACUGAUCACUGGAAGCGGAACCGCCCCAAGUAUUUGGCGGAGAAGAAGGAUGGCAAAGUGAAAGGUAUAUUUGAUAUACAUGUUAUUGAUGUGUACCUUACUAAUGCUCACAGUAGUGCCUGGGUAUUUGAUACUGGUUCAGUUCCUAACAUUUGCAACUCAAAACAGGGGCUACAGAUUAAGCGAAUAUUGGCUAAGGAGAGGUGACGAUGCAUGUGGGAAAUGGUUCCAAAGUCGAUGUGAUCACCGUCGGCACGCUACCUCUACAUCUACCUUCGGGAUUAGUUUUACACCUAAAUAAUUGUUAUUUGGUGCCAGCAUUGAGCAUGAACAUUAUAUCUAGAUCUUGUUUGAUGCGAGACGGUUAUUCAUUUAAAUCAGAGAAUAAUGGUUGUUCUAUUUAUAUGAGUAAUAUCUUUUAUGGUCAUGCACCCUUGAUGAGUGGUCUAUUUUUACUAAAUCUUGAUAGUAGUGAUACACAUGUUCAUAGUAUUGAAGCCAAAAGAUGCAGAGUUGAUAAUGAUAGUGCAACUUAUUUGUGGCACUACCGUUUAGGUCAUAUUGGUGUAAAGCGCAUGAAGAAACUCCAUACUGGUGGACUUCUGGUCUCACUUGAUUAUGAAUCACUUGGUACUUGCGAACCAUGCCUCAUGGGCAAGAUGACUAAAACUCUGUUCUCUGGAACAAUGGAGCGAGCAACAGAGUUAUUGGAAAUCAUACAUACUGAUGUAUGUGGUCCAAUGAACAUUGAAUCUCACGGCAGAUAUCGUUAUUUUCUCACCUUCACAGAUGAUUUGAGCAGAUAUGAGUAUAUCUACUUAAUGAAACAUAAGUCUGAAACAUUUGAAAAGUUCAAAGAAUUUCAGAGUGAAGUGGAAAAUCAUCAUAACAAUAAAAUCAAGUUUCUACAAUCUGAUCGUGGAGGUGAAUAUUUGAGUUAUGAGUUUGGACUUCAUUUGAAACAAUGCGGAAUAGUUUCGCAACUCACGCCACCUGGAACACCACAACGUAAUGGUGUGUUCGACACUGAUUUACCGCUAUCGUUUUGGGGUUAUGCUUUAGAGACGGCUGCAUUCAUGUUAAAUAGGGCACCAUCUAAAUCCAUUGAGACAACACCUUAUGAACCGUGGUUUGGCAAGAAACCCAAGUUGUCCUUUUUUCUUAAAGUUUGGGGCUGCGAUGCUUAUGUGAAAAAGCUUCAACCUGAUAAGCUCGAACCCAAAUCGGAGAAAUGUGUCUUCGUAAGAUACCCAAAGGAGACUGUUGGGUACACCUUCUAUCACAGAUCCGAGGGCAAGAUAUUUGUUGCUAAGAAUGGAUCCUUUCUAGAGAAGGAGUUUCUCUCGAAACAAGUGAGUGGGAGGAAAGUAGAACUUGACGAGGUAAUUGUACCUUCUCCCUUAUUGGAAAGUAGUUCAUCACUGAAAUCAGUUCUAGUGAUUCCUACACAAGUAAGUGAGGAAGCUAAUAAUGAUGAUCAUGAAACUUCUGAUCAAGUUACCACCGAACCUCGUAGGUCAACCAGAGUAAGAUCCGCACCAGAGUGGUAUGGUAAUCCUGUUCUAGAGGUCAUGUUACUUGACCUUGACGAACCUACGAACUAUGAGGAAGCGAUGAUGAGCCCAAAUUGCGUAAAAUGGCUUGAGGCCAUGAAAUAUGAGAUGGGAUCCAUGCAUGAGAACAAAGUAUGGACUUUGGUCGACUUGCCGAUGAUCGGCAGGCCAUAGAGAAUAAGUGGAUCUUCAAGAAGAAGACUGACGCUGACGGUAAUAUUACUGUCUACAAAGCUCGACUUGUUGCAAAAGGUUUUCGACAAGUUCAAGGAGUUGACUACGAUGAGACCUUCUCACCCGUAGUGAUGCUUAAGUCCGUCUGAAUCAUGUUAGCAAUUGCCGCAUUUUAUGAUUACGAAAUUUGGCAAAUGGAUGUCAAAACUGCAAUCCUUAAUGGAUAUCUUAAAGAAGAGUUGUAUAUGAUGCAACCAGAAGGUUUUGUCGAUCCAAAAGGUGCUAACAAAGCGUGCAAGCUCCAGCGAUCCAUUUAUGGACUGGUGCAAGCCUCUCAGAGAUGGAAUAUACGCUUUGAUAGUGUGAUCAAAGCAUAUGGUUUUAUAUAGACUUUUGGAGAAGCAUGUAUUUACAAGAAAGUGAGUGGGAUAUUGAUGUGUACUACACAACCUUCUUCUUGUAGACGUUGUUGGGCCUCCAAGUGCAGAGGUUUGUAGGACAGUAGCAAAUUUCCCUCAAGUGGAUGACCUAAGGUUUAUCAAUCCGUAGGAGGCGUAGGAUUAAGAUGGUCUCUCUCAAGCAACCCUGCAACCAAAUAACAAAGAGUCUCUUGUGUCCCCAACACACCCAAUACAAUGGUAAAUUGUAUAGGUGCACUAGUUCAGCGAAGAGAUGGUGAUACAAGUGGUAUGGAUGAUAGAUAUAGGUUUUUGUAAUCUGAAAAUAUAAAAACAGCAAGGUAACUAAUGAUAAAAGUGAGCGUAAAUGGUAUUGCAAUGCAUUGAAACAAGGCCCAGGGUUCAUACUUUCACUAGUGCAAGUUCCCUCAACAAUAAUAACAUAAUUGGAUCACAUAACUAUCCCUCAACAUGCAACAAAGAGUCACUCCAAAGUCACUAAUAGCAGAGAACAAACGAAGAGAUUAUGGUAGGGUACAAAACCACCUCAAAGUUAUUCUUUCCAAUCAAUCCGUUGGGCUAUUCCUAUAAGUGUCACAAACAGCCCUAGAGUUCGUACUAGAAUAACACCUUAAGACACAAAUCAACCAAAACCCUAAUGUCACAUAGAUACUCCAAUGUCACCUCAAGUAUCCGUGGGUAUGAUUAUACCAUAUGCAUCACACAAUCUCAGAUUCAUCUAUUCAACCAAGACAUAGAACCUCAAAGAGUGCCCCAAAGUUCCUACCGGAGAAUCACGGCGAAAAUGUGUCCCAACCCCUAUGCAUAGAUUCAUGGGCGGAACCCGCAAGUUGAUCUCCAAAACAUACAUCAAGUGAAUCACGUGAUAUCCCAUUGUCACCACGGAUACGCACGACAAGACAUACAUCAAGUGUUCUCAAAUCUUUAAAGACUCAAUCCGAUAAGAUAACUUCAAAGGGGAAACUCAAUCCAUUACAAGAGAGUAGAGGGGGAGAAAACAUCAUAGGAUCCAAAUAUAAUAGCAAAGCUCACGAUACAUCAAGAUCGUGUCACCUCAAGAACACAAGAGAGAGAGAGAGAGAGAGAGAGAGAGAGAGAGAGAGAGAUCAAACACAUAGCUACUGGUACAUACCCUCAGCCCCGAGGGAGAACUACUCCCUCCUCCUCAUGGAGAGCACCAGGAUGAUGAAGAUGGCCACCAGAGAAGGAUUCCCCCUCCGGCAGGGUGCCGGAACAGAUCUAGAUUGGCUUUCGGUGGCUACGGAGGCUUCUGGUGGCGGAACUCCCGAUCUAUUGUGCUCCCCGAUAGUUUUAGGGUAUAUGGAUAUAUAUAUAGGUGAAAGAAAUACAUCAGGGGAGCCAUGAGGGGCCCACGAGGGUGGAGGGCGCCCAGAGGGGGUGGGCGCCCCCUGCCUCGUGGCUUCCUCGUUGAUCCCCUAACGUGCACUCCAAGUCUCCUGUAUUGCUUUCUUUCCAAAAAUAAGUUCCGUGAAGUUUCAGGUCAAUUGGACUCCGUUUGACUUUCCUUUUCUGCGAUACUCUAAAACAAGGAAAAACAGAAAAUGGCACUGGGCUCUAGGUUAAGGUUAGUGCCAAAAAUCAUAUAAAAUAGCAUAUAAAUGCAUAUAAAACAUCCAAGGUUGAUAAUAUAAUAGCAUGGAACAAUCAAAAAUUAUAGAUACGUUGGAGACGUAUCAGCAUCCCCAAGCUUAAUUCCUGCUCGUCCUCGAGUAGGUAAAUGAUAAAAACAGAAUUUUUGAUGUGAAAUGCUACCUAACAUAUUUCUCUAAGUAAUUCUCUUCAUUUUGGCAAGAAUAUUCCGAUCCAUAAGAUUCAAGACAAAAGUUUAAUAUUGACAUAAAAAUAAUAAUACUUCAAGCAUACUAACUAAGCAAUUAUGUCUCUUCAAAAUAACAUGGCCAAAGAAAGUUAUCCCUACAAAAUCAUAUAGUCUGGCAAUGCUCCAUCUUCACCACACAACGUAUUCAAAUCAUGCACAACCCCGAUGACAAGCCAAACAAUUGUUUCAUACUUUUGUUCUCAAACCUUUUCAAUCUUCACGCAAUAUAUGAGCGUGAGCCAUGGAUAUAGCACUAUAGGUGGAAUAGAAGGGUGGUUAUGGAGAAGACAAAAAGGGAGAAGAUAGUCUCACAUCAACUAGGCGUAUCAACGGGCUAUGGAGAUGCCCAUUAAUAGAUAUCAAUGUGAGUGAGUAGGGAUUGCCAUGCAACGGAUGCACUAGAGCUAUAAAUGUAUGAAAGCUCAACAAGAGACUAAGUGGGUGUGCAUCCAACUUGCUUGCUCACGAAGACCUAGGGCAUUUUUAGGAAGCCCAUCAUUGGAAUAUACAAGCCAAGUUUUAUAAUGUAAAAUUCCCACUAGUAUAUGAAAGUGACAACAUAGGAGACUCUCUAUUAUGAAGAUCAUGGUGCUACUUUGAAGCACAAGUGUGGUAAAAGGAUAGUAGCAUUGCCCCUUCUCUCUUUUUCUCUCAUUUUUUUAUUUGGUCCUUCUCUUUUUUUAUGACCUCCUUUUUUUGGGGCUUCUUUGGCCUCUCUUUUUUUCGUCCGAAGUCUCAUCCCGACUUGUGGGGGAAUCAUAGUCUCCAUCAUCCUUUCCUCACCUGGACAAUGCUCUAAUAAUGAUCAUCACACUUUUAUUUUCUUACAGCUCAAGAAUUACAACUCGAUACUUAGGACAAGAUAUGACUCUAUAUGAAUGCCUCCGGCGGUGUACCAGGAUGUGCAAUGACUCAUGAGUGACAUGUAUGAAAUAAUUAUGAAUGGUGGCUUUGCCACAAAUACGAUGUCAACUACAUGAUCAUGCAAAGCAAUAUGACAAUGAUGAAGCGUGUCAUAAUAACGGAACGGUGGAAAGUUGCAUGGUAAUAUAUCUCGGAAUGGCUAUGGAAAUGCCAUAAUAGGUAGGUAUGGUGGCUGUUUUGAGGAAUUUAUAUGGUGGGUUUAUGGUACUGGCGAAAGUUGUGCGGUACUAGAGAGGCUAGCAAUGGUGGAAGGGUGAGAGUGCGUAUAAUCCAUGGACUCAACAUUAGUCAUAAAGAACUCACAUACUUAUUGCAAAAAUCUAUUAGUUAUCGAAACAAAGUACUAUGUGCAUGCUCCUAGGGGGAUAGAUUGGUAGGAAAAGACCAUCGCUCGUCCCCGACCGCCACUCGUAAGGAAGACAAUCAAUAAAUAAAUCAUGCUCCGACUUCAUCACGUAACGGUUCACCAUACGUGCAUGCUACGGGAAUCACAAACUUCAACACAAGUAUUUCUCAAAUUCACAACUACUCAGCUAUCAUGACUCUAAUAUCACCAUCUCCAUAUCUCAAAACAAUUAUCAAGUAUCAAACUUCUCAUAGUAUUCAAUGCACUUUAUAUGAUAGUUUUUAUUAUACCCAUCUUGGAUGCCCAUCAUAUUAGGACUAAAUUCAUAACCAAAGCAAACUACCGUGCUGUUUAGAGACUCUCAAAAUGAUAUAAGUGAAGCAUGCGAGUUCAUCUAUUUCUAUAAAAUAAAACCACCAUCGUGCUUUAAAAGGAUAUAAGUGAAGCACUAGAGCAAAUGACAAACUACUCCAAAAGAUAUAAGUGAAGAUCAAUGAGUAGUCGAGUAAUUAUGCAACUAUGUGAAGACUCUCUAACAUUUAAGAAUUUCAGAUCUUGGUAUUUUAUUCAAACAGCAAGCAAAACAAAAGAAAAUAAAAUGACGCUCCAAGCAAAACACAUCAUGUGGCGAAUAAAAAUAUAGCUGCAAGUAAAGUUACCGAUGAACGAAGACGAAAGAGGGGAUGCCUUCCGGGGCAUCCCAAUCUUAGGCUCUUGGUUUUCCUUGAAUAUUUCCUUAGGGUUCCAUGGGCAUCCCCAAGCUUAGGCUCUUUCCACUCCUUAUUCCGUAAUCCAUCGAAUCUUUACCCAAAACUUGAAAACUUCACAACACAAAACUUAACAGAAAACUUGUAAGCUCCGUUAGCGAAAGAAAACAAAACACCGCUUCAAGGUACCGUAAUGAACUCAUUCUUUAUUUAUAUUGGUGUUAAACCUACUAUAUUCCAACUUCUCUAUGGUUUAUAAAUGUAGCGACCCGACCUCAAACGAUCAAGUCUCUGUGCUUCAGUGCCAUCCCUGGAUCGGUAAUGCUGACACACACAGUACUCGAGGAUUUAUAACAGAGUAGAAAUCACACACUUAUUACAUCGAAUGUGUCCAAAGAGAGCUUAUUAUAGUAAAUUUGUCUUAAGGCCAUCUAAUACGAUAACAGCGGAAGGCUUGGAAGAUAAAGUGUGUCCAUCAACUCCAACGGCAUAGCUGAGCUGCACGGCAAUGACCUAACGAACCUUACUCCUCGUCUGAAAAGUCUGCAACAUAAUACGUUGCAGCCCGAAACGGGUCAGCACAUGGAAUAUGCUGGCAAAAUAACACAGUAGAGCAAGAACAGAAUAAUGCUAUCACUACAUGCAUAUUUGGCUGGUGGAAAGCUCUAUGGUUAUAGUUUUUGCGAAAAGCCAAUUUUUCCCUACAACAAAGGAAUAGAUUUUUAAUUUAACUAUCAUGGUAGUUGAAACAUCAUUGAGAAGGUUCCUCCAACUCAAUCCCAAUUAAAGUAAUUAUCAACCCAAUAAUAUUAAUUUAGAGUGAUGAGAUACUUAAGAUACUCCAAGUACUAGAUACUCAAGAUUGUCCAUAACUGGGGACACGGCUAACCACGAUUAGUUUAUACACUCUGCAGAGGUUUGCGCACUUUUCCCCACAAGACUCGAUCUCCUCCGUUGAUUUUCUCGCACUACAAGGUGUUUGAGAAACGAUGACCGAGACACAGUCUUUCAGAAACAUUAACUCUCUACUCUGGGCAGACCAUACCAAACCUACAAUCCCACUACCUGCUGAUCCACCUCUUCAAGAGCUUCACAUAACUUACUCAACUAUGCUAGAGCCCAUAAUAGCUUGUGGCUGCACACGUAAGUUUCUAGCAUGAAUAAUCUCAGUUCCCUUUGAGCCUGGGUGGUGGUCCAUAGGAAGAUCACACGGGUGCUCCGGGAUUUCCAAAAAAUACAGGCAACACCUGAUACUCCAGGUGCCUCAGUCCACCCAGAUGUGUAUUUAAGUUUCCACCUUAAGUUGAACCAUUAAUUAUCAAUCUCACAUCUGUCAUGGAUUUCACUCACCCAAACUACGUCUACGAGCAUAGCAUAGCAAUAGAAGCAACACGUAGAAGUAACUCCCAGGGUUUGAAUGUAACAUGGUAAUAGGUUCUACCUCAUCAACUACUUGCCAACCCACAUGUUAAUGACAUCCUAACCAUGCAACGUUUGAGGAUUGGAACUAAUGCAUAAAAACUGGGUGAUAAAGGGGUAUGAUCAAAGUGUUACUUGCCUUGCUGACGAUCCGCGUAACCAAGAGACUCCAAAUAACACGCUUCGCACUCCGGGAAUUCUAUCACAAACAAACAAUAGCAUACAUAAGCAAUCAAGCAAAGAAACACGGGUAAAUCUCAAAUAAAAGGUCUAACCAGAAAGUUCAACUUAAGAACUCCGGUUUGCAAAAAGAAUCAAAUCGAACGGAGCAACAAAACUCAAACAACGAAAGAAACAAGAUCCGUUACUAAUCCGGACCUAGGUCAAAUUUUACAGUAGAAAAAGCUUGUUCAAGUUGGUUAAGCGAAAAGAGGGUCUCGAGAAGAAGAUCUAGGCAUUUGAAUCGCCUGAUUCUGACUAACGAGCGAAAAGAUAAACUAGAACGAAAAUCGGAUCAGAAAUCGCGAUCAGAAAUAAUCGCGGAAUAAUCCAAUAAAAAGAAAACUGACGAACAGGCUAACGAACGAGCAUUCGUUAUCUGUAGCUAACGAGCGAAAACUGUUCGUUGAAAACGAACGUCUGCUAAACAAAAAAACCAAAAAAAC
rnacentral:lncRNA from 1 species